UGUGCCGAUAAAGCUAUAUCUGUUUGAUACCGGUCUGAUGUGUAAGUGCUAGCUUGGAGGUAAGAGCCAUUCGAUGAAUAUAUUGCAGAACGAGAGAGUGUCAAUUGUAGAUAAUACUGCGACUGAAGUUAAGUUUAUGCAACAGUGCCAUGCAAGUUGUAAUGUGUAGCAACAAUGCAGUCAUGGCGCGCAAACGUAUAUCAUUUACGCCGACAAAUGGAUUGUACUGUCGGUGGAAUAUGUUCCAAAGACGUUUGCUGUGAAGUCCUCGAGAAUCCCUUAAUCUGAUGUUCAACGCAGCUGAAUUACUCAUAGGGUUGGUGGCGGGAAAGAUCACAAGAAUCUGACCUUGUAUUUGUCGACCUCAGGAUAUGAUUUUU